UACGUAGGGACCGAGCGUUGUCCGGAAUCAUUGGGCGUAAAGAGCGUGUAGGCGGCCACUUAAGUCCUGCGUGAAAUCUUGCGGCUCAACCGCAAGCGGUCGUGGGAAACUGGGUGGCUAGAGUGCGGGAGAGGAGAGUGGAAUUCCCGGUGUAGCGGUGAAAUGCGCAGAUAUCGGGAAGAACACCCGUGGCGAAGGCGGCACUCUGGGACGGUACUGACGCUGAGACGCGAAAGCGUGGGGAGCGAACAGG
rnacentral:rRNA from 1 species